rnacentral:rRNA from 1 species
CGGGAGCAAUCCUGGUGGCGAGUGGCGAACGGGUGAGUAAUAUAUCGGAACGUGCCCAGUCGUGGGGGAUAACGUAGCGAAAGCUACGCUAAUACCGCAUACGAUCUACGGAUGAAAGCGGGGGAUCGCAAGACCUCGCGCGAUUGGAGCGGCCGAUAUCAGAUUAGCUAGUUGGUGGGGUAAAAGCCCACCAAGGCGACGAUCUGUAGCUGGUCUGAGAGGACGACCAGCCACACUGGAACUGAGACACGGUCCAGACUCCUACGGGAGGCAGCAGUGGGGAAUUUUGGACAAUGGGCGCAAGCCUGAUCCAGCAAUGCCGCGUGCAGGAUGAAGGCCUUCGGGUUGUAAACUGCUUUUGUACGGAACGAAACGGCUCUUUCUAAUAAAGAGGGCUAAUGACGGUACCGUAAGAAUAAGCACCGGCUAACUACGUGCCAGCAGCCGCGGUAAUACGUAGGGUGCGAGCGUUAAUCGGAAUUACUGGGCGUAAAGCGUGCGCAGGCGGUUAUAUAAGACAGAUGUGAAAUCCCCGGGCUCAACCUGGGACCUGCAUUUGUGACUGUAUAGCUAGAGUACGGUAGAGGGGGAUGGAAUUCCGCGUGUAGCAGUGAAAUGCGUAGAUAUGCGGAGGAACACCGAUGGCGAAGGCAAUCCCCUGGACCUGUACUGACGCUCAUGCACGAAAGCGUGGGGAGCAAACAGGAUUAGAUACCCUGGUAGUCCACGCCCUAAACGAUGUCAACUGGUUGUUGGGUCUUCACUGACUCAGUAACGAAGCUAACGCGUGAAGU